rnacentral:rRNA from 1 species
AUUGAACGCUGGCGGCAGGCUUAACACAUGCAAGUCGAGCGAGCGGCGGAGGGGUGAGUAAGGUCUGGGAAAGUGCCUGAUGGAGGGGGAUAACUACUGGAAACGGUAGCUAAUACCGCAUACCAUCAGAUGUGCCCAGAUGGGAUUAGCUAGUAGGUGGGGUAAUGGCUCACCUAGGCGACGAGCCCUAGCUGGUCUGAGAGGAUGACCAGCCCUACUGGAACUGAGGCACGGUCCAGACUCCUACGGGAGGCAGCCGUGGGUCAUAUUGCACACUGGGCGCAAGCCUGAUGCAGCCAUGCCGCGUGUGUGAAGAAGGCCUUCGGGUUGUAAAGCACUUUCAUCGAGGAGGCGUUACUCGCAGAAUAAGCACCGGCUAACUCCGUGCCAGCAGCCGCGGUAAUAC